rnacentral:rRNA from 1 species
UCCCUACGGGAGGCAGCAGUCGGGAAUAUUGCGCAAUGGAGGAAACUCUGACGCAGUGACGCCGCGUGCAGGAAGAAGGUUUUCGGAUUGUAAACUGCUUUAGACAGGGAAGAAAAAAGACAGUACCUGUAGAAUAAGCUCCGGCUAACUACGUGCCAGCAGCCGCGGUAAUACGUAGGUGGCAAGCGUUGUCCGGAAUUACUGGGUGUAAAGGGAGCGUAGGCGGGAAGCCAAGUCAGCUGUGAAAACUACGGGCUUAACCUGUAGACUGCAGUUGAAACUGGCUUUCUUG